rnacentral:rRNA from 1 species
UACGGAGGGUGCGAGCGUUGUCCGGAAUCACUGGGCGUAAAGGGCGCGUAGGCGGCGCGGGGAGUCAACGGUGAAAGCUCGGCGCUCAACGCCGAGUCGGCCGUCGAUACUCCCGUGCUCGAGCACUGUAGAGGCAGGUGGAAUUCCGGGUGUAGCGGUGGAAUGCGUAGAGAUCGGGAGGAACAUCAGUUGCGAAGGCGGCUCUCUGGACCAGCACUGACACUGAGGCACGAAAGCGUGGGGAGCAAACAGG